rnacentral:rRNA from 1 species
AGCAGCAGCCGCGGGAAUACGUAGGGUGCGAGCGUUAAUCGGAAUUACUGGGCGUAAAGCGUGCGCAGGCGGUUUUGUAAGACAGGCGUGAAAUCCCCGGGCUCAACCUGGGAAUGGCGCUUGUGACUGCAAAGCUAGAGUGCGGCAGAGGGGGAUGGAAUUCCGCGUGUAGCAGUGAAAUGCGUAGAUAUGCGGAGGAACACCGAUGGCGAAGGCAAUCCCCUGGACCUGUACUGACGCUCAUGCACGAAAGCGUGGGGAGCAAACAGGAUUAGAUACCCCGGUAGUCCCUGUCUCUUAUAC